GAUGAACGCUGGCGGCGUGCCUAAUACAUGCAAGUCGAGCGAACAGACGAGGAGCUUGCUCCUCUGACGUUAGCGGCGGACGGGUGAGUAACACGUGGAUAACCUACCUAUAAGACUGGGAUAACUUCGGGAAACCGGAGCUAAUACCGGAUAAUAUAUUGAACCGCAUGGUUCAAUAGUGAAAGACGGUUUUGCUGUCACUUAUAGAUGGAUCCGCGCCGCAUUAGCUAGUUGGUAAGGUAACGGCUUACCAAGGCAACGAUGCGUAGCCGACCUGAGAGGGUGGUCGGCCGCACUGGAACUGAGCCACGGUCCAGACUCCUACGGGAGGCAGCAGUAGGGAAUCUUCCGCAAUGGGCGAAAGCCUGACGGAGCAACGCCGCGUGAGUGAUGAAGGUCUUCGGAUCGUAAAACUCUGUUAUUAGGGAAGAACAAAUGUGUAAGUAACUAUGCACGUCUUGACGGUACCUAAUCAGAAAGCCACGGCUAACUACGUG
rnacentral:rRNA from 1 species